GUCCCUAUCAAAAAGAAAUGAUGUCAUUUUUUAAAAUGUUCGCUCUUCCAAUAAUAGCGGACAAAAUCUUCCACACAGUUAGAUCUGACAUUUUUAUUUUAUGUUUAGGCCUGCUUCUGGAGUUUGGCCCUUCGCUGUCUCCUAAAGGCUGCACUCACAUUUCUGCGUUUCUUUCUAUCCAUGCAUCUUUUGUAGCAUCUGUU
rnacentral:lncRNA from 1 species